GCUUUCCUGUGGCUCAUUUUGUAGAGCAUUGCGCUAAUAACGCAAAUAUUAUGGGUUCAAAUCUCAGGUAAAGCA